AGCCAUACAAAUGCUUUUAACUUGAACGCAGGUCCGGGGAGGGUGGCACAGGCGCAGAGGGAAAUGACAUGCAAAUUGCAGGCAGCCUUUGUGUAAAGAGCCUCCAGCAUCCUGUGCGCUCCUGGUUGUCAACGCAGCCCUGGGGAGAAUCCCAGCAGAGCAGCCAGCGUUUCGGGGUCUCGGGGGUUUUCUCGAAGCAUCGGCGGACCCGGCAGGGAGGCAAUAAGCCCCGCAGUGCAUGAGCUCUGAGCCCUCUCCACCUUGGGCCUAAGGGAGGGAGGAGAAGCAGGUGGGGGAGGCGCAUGGAGAGUGAUUUCCAGGUCAGCUCAUCCCCCUGGGCUCUAAGUUCUGUUCAGUUGGGCUGUCCUAGUUUCAGCUCAUCUGCAGCACAUCCACUCAUUUCAAGGGUUUCGCGCAGGUUCCCCGUAAGAGGAAGGAGAGCCUGCAGCUGUGUGCCGCGAACAAAGGAGAACUGUUCCAGCAGCUACAGGCUUCAGCCGGGUUUGGAGCCUCUUCAUCUACUUUUCAGUGGCUUCUGCCUUCAUUGACUCUGCCCUGCCGUUGGUUUUGAGCUCAGCCCCGCACUCCACGUGAUGAAGUUGGUCUGAACAUGCACCACUAACAUGGCAGCCCAGUAGGUACAGAUCGGCGGCCUGGCUGCCCUUCUCGGGUCAGCACCCGGCCGGCAAAUAGCCCAGAUCUUCCUCCUGCUGCCCACAGAAGCCAGGACGCGGGAGAGGCGGCGUGGCGACGGCCCUCACUUGGCUCUCACAUGCUCAGCUGCGGUUACUUAGGCCAUCAAAGUGAGAAAAGGAGAACGAAUUCUCCUCCCUCUGCCAGGGGAUCCACUACGGGUGUCCU